GGGCGUAGCUCAAUGGUAGAGCCCCAGCCUUCCAAGCUGAUUACGCGGGUUCGAUUCCCGUCGCCC
rnacentral:tRNA from 1 species